rnacentral:rRNA from 1 species
GACGAACGCUGGCGGCGUGCUUAACACAUGCAAGUCGAACGGAAAGGCCCUGCUUGCAGGGUACUCGCGUGGCGAACGGGUGAGUAACACGUGGGUGAUCUGCCCUGCACUUCGGGAUAAGCCUGGGAAACUGGGUCUAAUACCGGAUAGGAGCCAUUUUUAGUGUGAUGGUUGGAAAGUUUUUUCGGUGUAGGAUGAGCUCGCGGCCUAUCUGCUUGUUGGUGGGGUAAUGGCCUACCGAGGCGGCGACGGGUAGCCGGCCUGUGAGGGUGGACGGCCACAUUGGGACUGAGAGACGGCCCAGACUCCUACGGGAGGCAGCAGUGGGGAAUAUUGCACAAUGGGCGCAAGCCUGAUGCAGCGACGCCGCGUGGGGGAUGACGGCCUUCGGGUUGUAAACUCCUUGCGCUAGGGACGAAGCUUUUUGUGACGGUACCUAGAUAAGAAGCACCGGCUAACUACGUG